rnacentral:rRNA from 1 species
UACGAAGGGGACUAGCGUUGUUCGGAAUCACUGGGCGUAAAGCGCACGUAGGCGGAUAUGUCAGUCAGGGGUGAAAUCCCGGGGCUCAACCUCGGAACUGCCUUUGAUACAGCAUAUCUUGAGUCCGAUAGAGGUGGGUGGAAUUCCUAGUGUAGAGGUGAAAUUCGUAGAUAUUAGGAAGAACACCAGUGGCGAAGGCGGCUCACUGGCCCGGUACUGACGCUCAUGUGCGAAAGCGUGGGGAGCAAACAGG